rnacentral:rRNA from 1 species
UACGUAGGGGGCAAGCGUUGUCCGGAUUUAUUGGGCGUAAAGAGCGUGUAGGCGGCCACGUAGGUCCGUUGUGAAAACUCGAGGCUCAACCUCGAGACGCCGAUGGAAACCAUGUGGCUAGAGUCCGGAAGAGGAGAGUGGAAUUCCUGGUGUAGCGGUGAAAUGCGCAGAUAUCAGGAAGAACACCCGUGGCUAAGGCGGCUCUCUAGUACGGUACUGACGCUGAGACGCGAAAGCGUGGGGAGCGAACAGG